UUCAAUCUUAGUCACGGUUUAGUGAUUUAGCUUUAAAAAAAGAGUGUUUCACUAUGCAUCUCCAAACAUUUCAUCCUGCACGUUCAAACUAUAAAAAAGAUUUCAAUUUUAACCCUAAUUAAAAAGUAUUUUAAUUUUUAAAAAGUGUUUUUCUUUUUUAAAUAUGGUCAAAGGUUCCCAAGAGUCAAAUUGAAUUUCAUAGCCUUGGUUUUAUGUGCAUCGGAUUUCACCCUACUUUUAUUUCUCACAGCACUAUUACCCUUUUCUCCUUUCUCAUAGCAUCCUUCUUCUCCUUUCUCAUCAUUGUCUUACUCUCCUUUUUCAGAGAGCACAACAGUCACACAGUAAAGUCUUUCUUUUCACACCACAGCAGCC
rnacentral:lncRNA from 1 species